rnacentral:rRNA from 1 species
UACGUAGGGGGCCAAGCGUUGUCCGGAUUUAUUGGGCGUAAAGAGCUCGUAGGCGGUUGGGUAAGUCGGGUGUGAAAACUCCAGGCUCAACUUGGAGACGCCACCCGAUACUGCUCUGACUUGAGUUCGGUAGGGGAGUGGGGAAUUCCUGGUGUAGCGGUGAAAUGCGCAGAUAUCAGGAGGAACACCGGUGGCGAAGGCGCCACUCGUGGGCCGAAACUGACGCUGAGGAGCGAAAGCGUGGGUAGCAAACAGG